ensembl:snRNA U6 U6 spliceosomal RNA
UUGCCUUGGCAGCACAUAUACUAAAAUUGGAACAAUACAGAGAUUAGCAUGGCUCCUACACAACAUGCAAAUUUAUGAAGUGUUUCAUAUUAAA